rnacentral:rRNA from 1 species
GUGGGGAAUAUUGGACAAUGGGGGGAACCCUGAUCCAGCCAUGCCGCGUGUGUGAAGAAGGCCUUUUGGUUGUAAAGCACUUUAAGCGAGGAGGAGGCUACCGAGAUUAAUACUCUUGGAUAGUGGACGUUACUCGCAGAAUAAGCACCGGCUAACUCUGUGCCAGCAGCCGCGGUAAUACAGAGGGUGCAAGCGUUAAUCGGAUUUACUGGGCGUAAAGCGCGCGUAGGUGGUCAAUUAAGUCAAAUGUGAAAUCCCCGAGCUUAACUUGGGAAUUGCAUUCGAUACUGGUUGGCUAGAGUAUGGGAGAGGAUGGUAGAAUUCCAGGUGUAGCGGUGAAAUGCGUAGAGAUCUGGAGGAAUACCGAUGGCGAAGGCAGCCAUCUGGCCUAAUACUGACACUGAGGUGCGAAAGCAUGGGGAGCAAACAGGAUUAGAAACCCGGGUAGUCC